CGCUACUGAGGAGUCCCACAAUAGGACGAGACGUCCGUCUAGGGC
rnacentral:hammerhead_ribozyme from 1 species